GCCCCUCACUGGCAGGGCAGUAUGAGAUGCUGAGAAACCAAAAUGUCCUUGGUUCUGUACAGCACCGCUGAGCAACAACCAAACGUUGUUUGAUCAACCAGAUGUAAACUGCAAACAUUGCCAGUGAGAUAACAUUACUCUUUUGUGAAGAUCAAGACAGAGCUCUGGGAUGAAGAUUAGGGAUUUCAAGUUCCAAUUAAAACAGUGUUUGGGCCAUUGCUUUGCCUGCCAGUGCUUAAUCUUUUCCGAAAGCCUCAUCACUUAUCUAAAACAAAAGAAGAACGAGGGAUUUCCUUGGUUUGGGGAGGAGAAGGACGGCAGAUGUCAGAAGACCCAGCCAACCCUGCCCUGUAUGCCCUCUUCGUUAUCUGUGCCGCAUGGUUAGCUGAGUGAUGCAAGGGCCAGGGCAUCAAAUUACUAAUGAGUCUGAGACAGUUACCGUUAUUUUAGAAAAAUGCUAAAAGCUUUUAAUAAUGCUGCGAGAAAUGAACCUUUUUUGAGGUAUGUGAUAUUCUGCAUUUUAUAAUUUAUCUCUGUGUAGUUUCUAAGAAAGUUAAUGAAGUUACAGAGUAAUUAAACCACGUCUCUUGCAGCUUUGUUGGCUUCCUGUAUAUAUGAAACAGGCAUUGAUGUACUAGAUGUUAUCUCUUAUGGAAGAGGUGCAGAAUAUUUUAAUAGCCAUUGUGCAAUUAUAUUUUGAGUUACAUAACUAGUGGGAUUUAUUGGUUUUCUUGUAUUUGCUUUGUUUUCAUUUGUGUCUAGUUUGGCUUGUAUAAAUCUACACAAUGUAGUGGUUUAAUUGCCAACAGAAUCCAGGCUGAAAGCCAGCUUUUAAGGAGUACUAGUCUAAUGCCAAAGUAAUGUAGUGCCUGAAUCUGGUGGGAGGAGAGGAGGAUGCAGGAAAGAGUGUAUGGGCUGUGGCUAUAAAUUACUGAGUUCUGUGUCUGUCUGUUGGAACAUCAUGCUGUAACUGCAAAAAUCAGAGGAAAACUGUACUUUCUAGAUUAUUGUGUUUUUUUUUUCUUUUUUUUGUAUUCAGUGUUAUUCUAACAGGUCACAGAGAAAGAACUUGUCCAUUUCAAACUUUAAGUAAAAAUAAGCAUACGUGAAAUGGGUUGGAAAGGAUUUUUAAGGAAGUAGCUCCAGCCCUCAGCUGCAGGUCAUAUCAUCUGCCAGAUGAUUUCAGAAGCAGACCCUCUUCUCAGUUUUCUGCUGCAGUACUUUUUCAUUGAAACACUAACUUAUUUCCUGAGGAGUUGGUUUUCUCUUCCAUGAUGAAGCAUUUCUGUAAUUGCAGAGCAGAUUUACUAUGCAGAGUCCUGUUAGUAGACAGCUAAAAAGGCCAUUAAACUACAGUUCCUGAAGAUCACUCCUGUGCCGUGUCAGAAACAUGUCAAAGAUGCAGCCUCCCCCCCACAAAAGCACAAACGAGCUUAGCUGAGAUUUGUUGGAAAAAUUAAACUGGGGGGGGUAAGUCAACUGUGGGUUGAAAGAACGUGAAGUAUUCAGUUUAAAAUAGCCCAUUCUUUCCCAAAGAAAUGCAUUGCUUCAGUUAUAGGUAGUAUGGAUAUGCUUAUCUUGAUAAACUUAAUUAUUUCAUGUAGUGUAAUGAACGGUCUUUUUCGUACUUUAGAAAAUCUUCUAUAUUGAUACAUAUGAUGUAUAGAGUGGUAUAUUGAAAUAUCGUAUGUUAUAUAUAUGAUGUAAAGUGAGAAGGUGUUCACAGUUGGAGAAAAGAUGCA